rnacentral:antisense_RNA from 1 species
CUUCAACGAUCCCAUCAGGAGCGGCUGUUCACCUGCACGGUCCUGGCCGUAGGUGGCGAGGACCGCCUGGGCCUC